rnacentral:misc_RNA from 1 species
ACGAACAACGGGGUUCGCCCCUUGUCCACAAACACACCCCCGUGCACGUUGAAGGCCCGGCUCGUUGAGUGGGUGGGCGACCGCCCAGGAUUCGUAGCCUCGCUUUCUUACACAAACUUCAGAAUGUACAUCAGAAUGUAAGAACAACGGGGUUUGCCCCUUGUUCCCCAACCCCCCCCCGUUCCAGUUGAAGGCCCGGGUUGUUGAAUGGGUGGGCCGCCCCCCCGGGUUUGGAACCUUGGUUUUUUUCCCCAAAUUUCGAAAGGACCUUCGAAAGGUCUUACGCGUGUAACGCAUCGUAAUAUAACUUUCAGCAACGGAUCUCUUGGCUCUCGCAUCGAUGAAGAACGCAGCGAAAUGCGAUAAGUAAUGUGAAUUGCAGAAUUCAGUGAAUCAUCGAAUCUUUGAACGCACCUUGCGCUCCUUGGCAUUCCGAGGAGCAUGCCUGUUUGAGUGUCAUGAAACUCUCAACCCCUGCCAUCUUUGCGGAUGAGCGUCGGUUGGAUUUUGGAGGUUGCCGGACUCGUUCGGCUCCUCUUGAAAGCAUAGUAAAGCUUGGACCUGACCGACCGGGUGGACGUGAUAGAAAGUCACCGUCGACCGAAGGGUCCGUCGCUGAACGGUUCAAGCUUUGUUUGUCG